rnacentral:tRNA from 1 species
GCAGCUGUAGCUCACUGGUAAAGCACUUGCCUCGCAUGUAUGAGGCCCUGGGUUUUAUCCCCAGCACUGCA